CGUCCUAUCUCCCUCUAGUCUGUCCAGUAGUCCACAGGGUUGAUAGCAGCAAUAGAACUACAGCAAGAGCUUCUGCUGUUUGCUGCUGCUGCCUGCAGGCUAGCAUUAUUUCUUUAUUUUUUUGCUCUAAGGAAAACUUUUAUUAUUAGAAAUUUGAUUGUUUUAAUCAACGGAUCACUUUUUGAAUCGUUUUUAAAUUUCUGUGGAAUAUUUUCUAAUUUUUAGCCAAGGAACAUUUGGAUUCUGGAGACACUCAUUGCUGUUUACUACCUGGAUUAACCUGGACUAGCUUUCUCUCCAUCAGCUGUUCAAGUUGUUGUUUAGAAGAUGAGCUCCACUGAGGGCCUCUUUUUCUCCGCUUUACAGCCCCCCACCUCGGUCACCACCUAUGCAGUGCCGUCUGACCAGCAGCUGGGCUCGGACCAGCUGGCCAAAGCCAGGCGCGUCCAGCAGCAGGUCCAGCAGCGGCUGGCCGAGAAAGCAGCGUCCAUGCCGAGGCUGGCUGGAGCUCCAUCUGCCUGCUCAGAAUAUGAUGGCCCGUCCACGAUGAGAUACCAAAGCCAAGGCGCUGGAUUCAGCUCCAAGUCACUAAUGUACAACGGCACCAGCAGAGUAAUAAACCCCCGGUUGUCUCAGUAUGCUGGAGGAUUCAGCUCUCGCUCGGCCGUGGAGACGGGCACUCAGCGCAGCAGGAUCAGCUACGGCGUCCCCAUGCCAGCUGUGGUGGGCCAUCCGUAUGCUUGCUACGAUGACCAGUACAUUGGCGGCCAUUACGCAGGCCAGGCUCACGCUUCCGACUCCAGAGCGGUCAGCCGGAUUGAGCAGGACGUAGCAUCACUAGGCCUUCAAACAGUACCGCUACAGUCCUCCCCUGUGCCCAGCUGGAUGAACCAAGAGGGCAUGGCCUCCACGGAACAUCACACCUACUACGGCCCCAGCACUUUACCCAACGAGGCACCGAUACGACGCACGCUUAGCGGUACGCUAGCUCGUGAGGGGAUGAACAGAGGGUGGAGGGAGGCGGAGCUUGCUCAUCAGUAUUCUUACAAAGGCCCUGCUCACCGCACCAUCACCCGCAUGAACAACCGGCAGAUGCAGCAGCAGAGGAUGAACAACAGCACCAUGCAGUGGCAUCAGAUGUCCAGCGGGGGCAGCACCAUGAUAGCCGGUGGGCACUACCAGACCGGCAUGAGGAGGGCGGGGUCCAUGCACAGCCUGAAGAGCGUGGGCCGAGGGGUGGACAUACUCGAUGCUGGAGUUGAUGGAGCUACAGGCAGUGAUAUUCAAGGAGGAUUUCAUAGCCUGGACAUGCCAGCUGCAGUCAGCUAUCUCAGCUCCUCAGACGUUUCUAUGCAGAUGUUGGGAGCAGCGUAUGUCCAGCACCAGUGUUACCACAGCAGCGACGCCAAGGACCUGGUUCGAACCCUGAAGGGCAUCCCUGCACUGGUGCAGCUCUUCAGCAGUGAGAACCAGGAGGUGCAGCGCUACGCCACCGGCGCCACUCGCAACCUCAUCUACGAGAACAUGGACAACAAGACUGCACUUAUAGAAGCCGGAGGCAUCAGCAAACUGGUCAGUGCACUGAAGGAGCCGGACGAUGAGCUCCGCAAGAACAUCACAGGCAUUCUGUGGAAUCUGUCGUCUAAGGACAGUUUGAAGGAGCGAUUGGCGAGGGAGAGUUUAGUGGAGCUGAAUGAGAGAGUUCUGGUUCCUCUGUCUGGAGGAGGAAAUUCUGGAGUUAUCCAGCAGAGCCCGUCAGAGGCCGACAUAUUCUACAACACCACAGGCUGUCUCAGAAACCUGAGCUCAGUGAAUGGAAGGACCCGGCAGCAGAUGAGGGAGACUCGAGGGCUCGUAGACUCCCUGGUGGGGUACAUCCAGAACUCUCUAGAGGAGGGAAAAUCUGAAGACAAGGGUGUAGAGAACUGUGUGUGUGUUCUGAGGAACCUGUCCUUCCAGCUGUACACUGAGAUCCCCCCGUCAGUGCAGCUACGCUUGGAGGGUCCGACCCGAGCUCAGGACAGCCACCGCAGAGACGCCAUCGGCUGCUUCACUCCACAGGGGAAAAAGACCAAAGAUCAGAGGAACCAGGAGCUGUCUACGUUCACAGAGGUGGCGCGAGUGCCCAAGGGGGCGGAGUGGCUGUGGCACCCACAGAUCGUGGGGAUCUACAACCGCAUCCUGCAGAGCUGUGAUACGAACACCGCCACCCGCGAGGCUGCGGCCGGGGCUCUGCAGAACAUAACAGCGGGAGAGAGCCGGUGGGCGUCGGUAUUGAGCCGUGUCGCUUUGGAGCAGGAGCGAAUGCUGCCCGUUGUUCUAGACCACCUGCGGACCCCCACCGACGCCGAGCUGCGCUCUCUCACCGGCCUGCUGAGGAACCUGUCCCGACACACCAAGAACAAGGCCGAUAUGGCUACCAAAGUGGUCAAUAUCCUGGUGACCAAGUUGCCUAGCGACGGGCUUCAAAAGGAGCCGCCCAGUGACGUGGUGGUCAACGUCUGCGGUGUUCUCAACAACCUGGUGAUUGCGAGCUCCAUGGCUGCGAGAGAUAUCGCCUUCUUUGACGGACUGCCCAAGCUGGUGGGCAUCAAGACCUCCCAUGACAGCAGUCCAGGAAAGCUGAAGGCGGCUAAGGCGGCCGCUACAGUGCUGGGGAACAUGUUUCAAUACAGCAAACUCCACAAAGACUACAAGCAGAAAGGGUUUACGAGGCGAGACUUCAUGGAUGGAGCUAUCUGAGACACUUCGUUCUUAGAAGUACAAAAUUGAUGUGAAACUCAACCCGACCAACGCAGUCAUCCACCGAGUCCCAACAAAACGAGGGACAUUCUGAGGACUCGGACGAUAUGAAGACUUGUCGGAGCCAGCUUGAGUGCUUUCUGUUUAGGCCACUUCUCUAAAUUUGAUUGGUGUGGAAUUCUGGGAAGACUGUGCAUAUUUCUUCUUCCUCCUCGGGAGUGCAACUGGAUGCAUGCUUUGGAUCAGAUCCAGCUCUUAUAGGGAGUGAUGUGUCCGGGCUGAAGUGAUGGAGUGAACUGUUUUUGUAACGAUUAUAAAAGCUUUGACUGAUUUGAGUCAACAGCACCCAUUAAAUAAAUAAAAUAAAUAGAUUAUAGUAAAGUAUCAGCAGCAGCUCGCCACAGAAAUGAAGGAGACGGUCGUGUUGCAAUAAAUGCAAAAAAAAAGGGCAGAAUUAGGCUCUUUUUACUCAUUUAUAUGAAAAAAGUCUUUGUAUAUUCAGACUUAAUAUGCAACAAAAGCAAAGUUCUGCUGUGCAAACAUCUUUAUAGAUGUAUUUUUUUUUUCUUGGGUGCCACCAUAUUUUGGAAAACAACAGCUAUACAGUAUAUAUUUUUUAUGAUAAUUAUAUAUUUAAAAAAACAUUUUCAGCUAUUUUCAGACUAAUUUCUGUUCAAAUUAAGCAGAUAAUCUAAACAUUUUGACAGAUUUUUACAAGAAACCUGUAUUUCGUUGCAAGUCCAACAAAACCUUGUAUCUCCAUUUUUUUCUAUUAUUUUUUAAAAAUAUAAUUUAAAUCUGGUAUUUUUGGUAGUUGUUUAUUAUUUGCAUUGUGUCAUAGUUUCAUCAUGAAUUGACCAUUUCUUAAAGAAAUUCUCCAAAUAUAUAUAUAUAUAUAUUAUUAUUAUUAUUUUAUUUUUUUUUUUUUUGUGCCUAUUACAAAGAGAUACAAGGUUUUGGUGCAACCACAACAAUAUGGACAGUACCAGUCAAAAGUUUGGACACAUCUUCUCAUUCAAUGUUUUUUUUUCUCUUUAUUUCUUUAUUUAAUGUAUUUUCUACAUUGUAAAUUAAUAUUAAAGACAUGAACGAUGAAUGGACACAUAUAAAAUUAUGUAGUAAACAGUUUACACUGUUAAACAGUAAAAAUGAUUAUUCCUCCUUAUUAAUCCCCUGAUCUAAACCUGAUGAACUGAGAUGGUGAUUUGAGGUGAUUUAAUUGGGAUGAGCUGGAGCUUCACAGCAUGAAGGAAAAGAAGCAACUAUUGUUCAGCACCUCCAGGAACUCCUUCUUUCAAGACGCUGAGAAAACUAUUCCAGGUGACUCUCCCUCAUGAAGAUACUGAGAUUAAAAUUAAACCAAGAGUCUGCAGAUCUGUCCUCAAAGAUAUAUGCGCCAUUUAUUUAGAAGAAUCGAAAGUAUAAAACAUAUUUUUUACUAAAUAAUUCAGCAUAUGUUCCUGUAGAGCUUUAAUAUAGUCUUCAAUAUUAAAUUUACAAUGUAAAAAAAAAAACAUAAAAAGAAAGAAAACACAUUGAAUGAGAGGAAAAGUGUCCAAAACUUGUGACUCGUACUGUAUGCCUCUAAUUUUAUACUUGUUUUUUUACACAGUAUGAAGAUAGAAAAUAAUCUAUGCAUUCUAUGGUUUGGAUCGAACCCCAGUUGUCACAGUUGUCGCACUUGUACCCGACUUUGGCCUUUGUAGAAAACAGUAUAAGGAAACAGACUGGAUGGCAUGCUUGCCCUCUCGCUCUUACUUCUAAGGGGCUGUGGCACUGUUGGCAUUCACCUGGUCAUGUGAUCAACAUUUUUUUGCAAGUGUGUUGAGAUGCUUGGCAGUGCUCAGCGACUUGCGUUUAAAAAAAGAUGUGCUGCCCUCCAUUGUUUUUUUUCUUUCCUAAAUCCGCUUAAUGACAUAUAUACAGCUCUGGGAAAAAAAGAGACCACUUAAAAUGAUGAAUUUCUUUGAUUUUACCAAAUUAAAAACCUGUGGAAUAUAAUCAAGAGGAAGAUGGAUGAUCACAAGCCAUCAAACCACCAAGCUGAACUGCUUGAAUUUGUGCACCAGGAGUAAAGCAGCAUAAAGUUAUCCAAAAGCAGUGUGUAAGACUGGUGGAGGAGAACAUGAUGCCAAGAUGCAUGCAAUCUGGAUUAUUCCACCAAAUAUUGUUUUUUGAACUCUUAAAACUUUAUAAAUAUGAUUCGAGGUCUGAAAGCUCUGCAUCUUUUUUGUUAUUUCAGCCAUUUCUCAUUUUCUGCAAAUAAAUGCUCUAAAUGACAAUAUUUUUAUUUGGAAUUUGGGAGAAAUGUUGUCUGUAAACAACAAUGUAUAUUAUACUCAAGCAUAAACCUAUAAAUAGCAAAAUCAGAGAAACUGAUUCAGAAACUCUCAAUUUUUCCAGAGCUGUAUUUAUAUAUAUAUUAGGUGUUAUUACUUUGUGUUGUGCUGGCUGUACAGUGAGUGGAUCAGAUACAGCAGUGCUGCUGGAGUUUUUAAACACUGUGUUUAAUCUCUUACUGUCCUCCACUCUAUUACACACUCCUACCUACAGCUGCUCCACCUUGUAGAUAAUGUAAAGUCAGAGACAGAAUCUCUAAAUCUGUUUCUGCACCGUUUUUUUGUGUUUGUGUUGGUCAUCCUCUAGUCCUUCAUCAGUGGGAACAGGAUGCUGCCUAUUCUCUGUCCAGCAAUGACAGUGAAGUUUUAAUAAACUCCAGCAGCACUGCUGCUGUAUCUGAUCCAC